rnacentral:rRNA from 2 species
GGGUUGUGAGGUUAAGCGACUAAGCGUACACGGUGGAUGCCCUGGCAGUCAGAGGCGAUGAAGGGCGUACUAAUCUGCGAUAAGCGCCGGUAAGGUGAUAUGAACCGUUAUAACCGGCGAUACCCGAAUGGGGAAACCCAGUGUGAUUCGUCACACUAUCAUUAACUGAAUCCAUAGGUUAAUGAGGCGAACCGGGGGAACUGAAACAUCUAAGUACCCCGAGGAAAAGAAAUCAACCGAGAUUCCCCCAGUAGCGGCGAGCGAACGGGGAGGAGCCCAGAGCCUGAAUCAGCAUGUGUGUUAGUGGAAGCGUCUGGAAAGGCGCGCGAUACAGGGUGACAGCCCCGUACACAAAAGCGCAUGUGCUGUGAGCUCGAUGAGUAGGGCGGGACACGUGGUAUCCUGUCUGAAUAUGGGGGGACCAUCCUCCAAGGCUAAAUACUCCUGACUGACCGAUAGUGAACCAGUACCGUGAGGGAAAGGCGAAAAGAACCCCGGCGAGGGGAGUGAAAAAGAACCUGAAACCGUGUACGUACAAGCAGUGGGAGCACCCUUUGGGUGUGACUGCGUACCUUUUGUAUAAUGGGUCAGCGACUUAUAUUCUGUAGCAAGGUUAACCGAAUAGGGGAGCCGGAGGGAAACCGAGUCUUAACCGGGCGUUAAGUUGCAGGGUAUAGACCCGAAACCCGGUGAUCUAGCCAUGGGCAGGUUGAAGGUUGGGUAACACUAACUGGAGGACCGAACCGACUAAUGUUGAAAAAUUAGCGGAUGACCUGUGGCUGGGGGUGAAAGGCCAAUCAAACCGGGAGAUAGCUGGUUCUCCCCGAAAGCUAUUUAGGUAGCGCCUCGUGAAUUCAUCUCCGGGGGUAGAGCACUGUUUCGGCUAGGGGGCCAUCCCGGCUUACCAACCCGAUGCAAACUGCGAAUACCGGAGAAUGUUAUCACGGGAGACACACGGCGGGUGCUAACGUCCGUCGUGAAGAGGGAAACAACCCAGACCGCCAGCUAAGGUCCCAAAGUCAUGGUUAAGUGGGAAACGAUGUGGGAAGGCCCAGACAGCCAGGAUGUUGGCUUAGAAGCAGCCAUCAUUUAAAGAAAGCGUAAUAGCUCACUGGUCGAGUCGGCCUGCGCGGAAGAUGUAACGGGGCUAAACCAUGCACCGAAGCUGCGGCA